rnacentral:rRNA from 1 species
GCUGGCGGCACGCCUAACACAUGCAAGUCGAACGAAGUAGCAAUACUUAGUGGCAGACGGGUGAGUAACAUGUAGGUAUCUACCCUAUGGUUUGGAAUAACACGAGGAAACUUGUGCUAAUACCAAAUAAGUCUUUACGGAGAAAGCUUUAUGCGCCAUUGGAUGAGCCUGCACUUGAUUAGUUUGUUGGUGGGGUAAUGGCCUACCAAGACAAUGAUCAAUAGCUGAUUUGAGAGGAUGAUCAGCCACAUUGGGACUGAGACACGGCCCAAACUCCUACGGGAGGCAGCAGUGGGGAAUCUUGCACAAUGGGGGGAACCCUGAUGCAGCGAUGCCGCGUGAGUGAAGAAGGCCUUUGGGUUGUAAAGCUCUUUCGUCGGGGAAGAAAAUGACUGUACCCGAAUAAGAAGGUCCGGCUAACUUCGUGCCAGCAGCCGCGGUAAUACGAAGGGACCUAGCGUAGUUCGGAAUUACUGGGCUUAAAGAGUUCGUAGGUGGUUAAAAAAGUUGGUGGUGAAAUCCCAGAGCUUAACUCUGGAACUGCCAUCAAAACUUUUUAGCUAGAGUAUGAUAGAGGAAAGUAGAAUUUCUAGUGUAGAGGUGAAAUUCGUAGAUAUUAGAAAGAAUACCAAUUGCGAAGGCAGCUUUCUGGAUCAUUACUGACACUGAGGAACGAAAGCAUGGGUAGCGAAGAGGAUUAGAUACCCUCGUAGUCCAUGCCGUAAACGAUGUGUGUUAGACGUUGGAAAUUUAUUUUCAGUGUCGCAGCGAAAGCAGUAAACACACCGCCUGGGGAGUAC